GGAACAAUGGGUCGAAUUUCUAAACCCGGAGACCACGCCCCCUCCUGUCCGCCACUGCAACCGUCCUUUCUGCCCACAAAAACAACAAUCUACCCCGAUUAAACCGAUCUAAACGGACCACAGCUCCGCCGUUGGCGCCUUGUCGACUCCGUGAAAUCGAGAAAAGUCAGUUUGCACCGAAUUACGCACAAAAUAUACCGAACAGAUCGAGCUUUCGGUUGACGUAGUGUCACACUUUGAUUGAUUGAUGUUCAUCUGGUCGAGUCGAGCGGCGACUCCGGAGCGUUUCUCCCGCCCACCGGCGCGACGAGGGGAUAGAGAAAGUCUUUAGGGGACAAAAUGUCGACGACACGGACAGUGUAGGUGGAUUAAAGAUGCUUCUAUAGCGGUACUGUCACCUCUCCAGCCGCCAUGUGAACACUAUCAAUCAGAUGAAAGGCAGAGAGAAUGUAAUUGUGGAGCACCGCCGCCAUGUCUCAUCACAGCCCUUCCCCUCCCCCUUCUUUCCUCCCGACGUCCAUGUUUGAAACUCCCUCACUCCUCUCUGUAUGUGCGCACUUCACACACUGAGUUAUUAUUCGGCUCUGAGGCUGGCUGGGGUUUGUGAUGUCAGAAGGUGAAAGGUCAAACAACUAAAGGGCCGGAUGUGAGGGGAUGUGUACAGUGGAUGCGUGUGGAGCUGUGAGUCUUCUGCACUGUGUGUCUGCACAACAAGGACAUGUUCAAGUUUGUCUGUGUAAUGAUACAUUUUGGACAUCAGCACAUGAUGAAACCUGAGGCCCCUCACAGCCACGCAGUGUCCCGUUGUUCAUGCUGAUGAUGUAACCAGGAGAGAUUUUACGUCCAUCGCAGACACAGAAACAAGACGAACGUGUGUAAACAGGAUUACAGAUACCGCAGGGAGCCGUCAGACUUCACCAGCGUUGUUUCACGUGGAAUUCAACUUCAGCUGUUGUGACGUUGCUUCACCGAGAGGAAGUCAGAGUCAGACGAACCCGCUGCACUUCCUCUUGGUCACAUGACUCUCCCAUCCUGCUCGGUCGCCCCCAGCUUCACCAUCAUCUCUCUCUUUCUCUCUCUCUCUCUCUCUCUAUCGAUUACCCCGGCAAGGACAUUAUGCCUGAUGUAUGACAUUACAUGAAGGAGAGAGGGUGGAGGAGGGAGAUUACUGAUUAUCACCUCUAUGUUUGAGGUUCCUUUUGUGCUAAAUAUGUAUCGUGGAUGUUUUUUACAAUCAUUUCAUUAAAAGUCACUGCUGUGGAAGAUUUAAAAUGCCUAAACAAAAACAAAACAAACAAAGAAAUAAAGUGAAAUACAACACACAUUUCCUUUUGAAUGUAUGCAUUUACUGUGUCAUCAUUAAAAGAAAAAAAAAAACAUUUAUGUCCCGCCCCUGAGCUGUGAUUGGACAGAUUGUUUUAUCAUUUUGACAUGGACAACGCGUCCCUCUCACCUCCUCAACUAAUAACAGUGCUGUGUAUUUAGUAUUGGCAGCUCUUCUCCAACAGUAGAUCUAUACAUAAACAGGUGGAUGUGUAAUGUAAUUUCACUUUGUUUGAUUUGUUUUUUAUUUCACCAUUUUAGAUCUUCCAUACAAUCUUUGUACAAUAAACCAUGUGCUGUGUUUUAUUUGUAUGAUUUUGAUUCAUUAGCGUCCCUUUUAAUUUCCAGGUAUUUAAUAAACACAGUAAAACAAACCAAACAAUCUCACCUCAAAGUCCAUUCAGUAGCUGACCUGGAGCUUUCAAUCAUAUCACAUGAUCUUCAUUAUGAGAUGGGAUCGCCCUGGAAUUGCAAAUUUCCAUAUUUUUUUUGAGCACUUUACACAUUUUUCAUCAAUGUCUUUGUUCAAAGUUUAUUCUUUAUCUUGGACUCAGUAAAUGAAACGAUAUCUUUGUACCACUAAAUGCAUCUUCAUAAUCACAUUUUUGUGUGGUAGGUUUUUGUAAUCAGAUUUUUUCACUUUUUUUUUAAACAUAAUUACUGAUUAAUGUCCUAUAUUGCUGUCUGCUGCACAGCACUAAAAUGCAAUAUUCCUCUUUACGUUCUUUCCUGUGUCGUGAUUUGAUUUUAAUGUGGCAUGGAGAACGAGUCAUUCCGCUGUAAAAGAUAAAAAAGGUAAAUAAUUGUUUUUUUUUUUUUAAAUGUUUGUAUUUAAUUAUGACACAGUAAAUGCAUACAUAUAAAUGCAUGCAUAAACAGGUGUAUGUGUAUUGUUUUCAAUUUAUUUCAUUAUUUGACAUCUUAUUUUUGCAUUUUGAAUCUUCCAUACAUUCUAUGUACAAACCAUGUGCUGUGUUUCAUGUUUGUGAUUUUAAUUCAUUUUCAGAAUAGUCUUUUUUUUUUUUUAGUCUCUCCGGUUCAACUUUGGUGAACUUUCCCGCCUUUAACUUUCGCUCUGUUGACCAAUAACAAACCAUCUCGACCGAACCGACCUUUGAGAGGACG